GCUUAAGUUGAUCAUGGCUCAGNCUGAGCGGUAACGGCAGGCCUAACACGAUGCAAGUCGAACGGUAACAGGAAGCAGCUUGCUGCUUUGCUGACGAGUGGCGGACGGGUGAGUAAUGUCUGGGAAACUGCCUGAUGGAGGGGGAUAACUACUGGAAACGGUAGCUAAUACCGCAUAACGUCGCAAGACCAAAGAGGGGGACCUUCGGGCCUCUUGCCAUCGGAUGUGCCCAGAUGGGAUUAGCUAGUAGGUAGGGGUAACGGCUCACCUAGGCGACGAUCCCUAGCUGGUCUGAGAGGAUGACCAGCCACACUGGAACUGAGACACGGUCCAGACUCCUACGGGAGGCAGCA
rnacentral:rRNA from 1 species